rfam:Gossypium hirsutum cultivar TM-1 chromosome 7, whole genome shotgun sequence
AUCCCAUGAUGAGGACACUUAUGAAGUAACUCUUUGAAUCUUUCCCACUCCUCGUAUAAAGACUCCUCAUCAAAUUGUUGGAAAGUAGUUAUCUCAUUACACAACUU